GAUGAACGCUAGCGGCAGGCUUAACACAUGCAAGUCGAGGGGCAGCACGGGUAGCAAUACCUGGUGGCGACCGGCGCAAGGGUGCGUAACGCGUGAGCAACAUGCCCUAUACAGGGGGAUAAUCCAGGGAAACUUGGUCUAAUAUCCCAUAGUAUUUAGAGGAGGCAUCUUCUAUAAAUUAAAGCUUCGGUGGUAUAGGAUUGGCUCGCGUGACAUUAGCUAGAUGGUGAGGUAACGGCUCACCAUGGCAAUGAUGUCUAGGGGUUCUGAGAGGAAGGCCCCCCACACUGGGACUGAGACACGGCCCAGACUCCUACGGGAGGCAGCAGUGAGGAAUAUUGGACAAUGGAUGGAAAUCUGAUCCAGCCAUGCCGCGUGCAGGAAGACAGCCCUAUGGGUUGUAAACUGCUUUUAUAUGGGAGCAAUAAGGUCUACGUGUAGACUGAUGAGAGGUACCAUAUGAAUAAGCAUC
rnacentral:rRNA from 1 species